GAUCCUGGCUCGGGAUGAACGCUAGCGACAGGCUUAACACAUGCAAGUCGAGGGGCAGCGGGGUGUAGCAAUACACCGCCGGCGACCGGCGCACGGGUGAGUAACGCGUAUGCAACUUGCCUAUCAGAGGGGGAUAACCCGGCGAAAGUCGGACUAAUACCGCAUGAAGCAGGGAUCCCGCAUGGGAAUAUUUGCUAAAGAUUCAUCGCUGAUAGAUAGGCAUGCGUUCCA
rnacentral:rRNA from 1 species